GAUGAACGCUAGCGGCAGGCUUAACACAUGCAAGUCGAGGGGUAUGUUUCUUCGGAGACAGAGACCGGCGCACGGGUGCGUAACGCGUAUGCAAUCUACCUUUUACAGAGGGAUAGCCCAGAGAAAUUUGGAUUAAUACCUCAUAGUAUAAUGACCUGGCAUCAGGAUGUUAUUAAAGUCACAACGGUAAAAGAUGAGCA
rnacentral:rRNA from 1 species